rnacentral:rRNA from 1 species
GACGAACGCUGGCGGCGUGCUUAACACAUGCAAGUCGAACGGAAAGGCCCUGCUUUUGUGGGGUGCUCGAGUGGCGAACGGGUGAGUAACACGUGAGUAACCUGCCCUUGACUUUGGGAUAACUUCAGGAAACUGGGGCUAAUACCGGAUAGGAGCUCCUGCUGCAUGGUGGGGGUUGGAAAGUUUCGGCGGUUGGGGAUGGACUCGCGGCUUAUCAGCUUGUUGGUGGGGUAGUGGCUUACCAAGGCUUUGACGGGUAGCCGGCCUGAGAGGGUGACCGGCCACAUUGGGACUGAGAUACGGCCCAGACUCCUACGGUAGGCAGCAGGGGGGAAUAUGGCACAAUGGGCGGAAGCCUGAUGCAGCAACGCCGCGUGCGUGAUGACGGCCUUCGGGUUGUAAACCGCUUUCGCCUGUGACGAAGCGUGAGUGACGGUAAUGGGUAAAGAAGCACCGGCUAACUACGUG